rnacentral:rRNA from 1 species
GACGGGGGAUGCGAGCGUUAUCCGGAAUGAUUGGGCGUAAAGGGUCCGCAGGUGGCCCGGUCAGUCCGCUGUCAAAGCCUGGGGCUCAACCCUGGAGAGGCGGUGGAGACCACCGGGCUUGAGUCCGGUAGGGGCAGAGGGAAUUCCCGGUGGAGCGGUGAAAUGCGUAGAGAUCGGGAAGAACGCCAAGGGCGAAGGCACUCUGCUAGGCCUGAUUUCGCGACUGACACUCAGGGACGAGAGCCAGGGGAGCGAAUGGG